CUUCAACCAAAGAGCUGGGCCAUCCGUGGCAAUGCCUCCCAGGCUUGGGAGCUGGGAAAAGGCCCCAGGAGCUAGGGCAUCCUGAUUGUUCUUUCAAAGAAAUCCCUCUUGUUCUUAGUCAACAUGCUGGAUACCAGCUAAAAAAUGCAAAAUGAUCUUCAGGCAGGGAUGGCACAGGACCCUUGCUGAGCUGUGAAGCCUGGCUGUGAGGAUUCCUGCAUGGAAACAUCAACAUGUUGCCAGAUUGGUAUACGACUCAACACCACACUGACAUGCUGCUCCCAAACAGUGCCUUUGAAUCAAGACCCAGUCAUCGUAUUCGAAGAAAAAGGAAAUAUCCCUGACCAUGUUGGGACUUAACACUGCUUCACAGAGUCCAUGGAGUUCCUGGUGACUAAUGCCAUCCACAAGAUCUGAAGGUGUUGUGUAACCUAGACCUGGCCCUUCUCUCAGUGCAUCCCCCUCUCCAGAGUGACCAACUCAGAGAGGUCAUGUGCUUAAGGGUGAGAACCACUACAGGACAAAAAUGAGCUCCUUUUUUCCAGUCUCAGCCCAGGAGGGAUCUUCACAGAGAAAGCAAGCCCAGCCCAUCCCCACAGCUGGCUCCCUGGUGCCCAUUCUGAAAGGCUGGACCCAUCCUGACCUGUCCCUGCCCCAAGGACUGCCUGGUGAGGGAUGGCUUACCAACACUGUGACUCAGUCCUUCCAACAUGCCCAACAGGUCAAUUCUGGGAUAUUCCUUACAGGAAUUAAUGAGAGCACAUUGCCGGUAAUGUUGGCAUUAGUAGAUUACAUUUAAAUUUAAAAAUUCCUUUUAUGGGGUUUAAGAAUAGAGACAAGACACCCAUGCAAUAAAGAAAGGAGGAGACUUUGCCUGGUCUAAUGGAGAAGCUGGAGCUGCAUUGUUGGGUACAGUGGCCAGUGGCUACACCUGGCUUUUGAGCCCUUGCACAGUGGCAAGGACACAUUGAGAUGUGCCCUAGGUGCAAGAUACACACAGGAUUUCAAAGACUGAGUAUGAAAAAAGAAGAAAAAAUGUCUCAUUAAUAUUUUUAUAUUGGUUGCAUGUGGAAGUGAUAACAUUUUGGAUAUAAAGUUGACCUUUGAACAGUAUGGGUUUGAACUGCACAGGUCUGCUUAUAAGUGAAAUUUCUUCUGCCUCUGCCACCCCUGAGACAGCAAGACCAACCCUCCACUUCCUCCUCCUCCUCCUCCUCCUCAACCUGCUCAACGUGAAGAUGAUGAAGAUCAAGACCUUCAUGAUGAUCUACUUCCACUUAAUGAAUAGUAAAUAUAUUUUCUCUUCCUUGUGAUUUUCUUAAUAACGUUUUCUUUCCUCUAGCUUAUUUUGUUGUAAGGAUACAGUGGUAUAUAAUAUUUAUAACAUACAAAAUAUGUGUUAACCAACUCUGCUAUCAGUAAGGCUUCUGAUCAACAGUAUGCUAACAUUUUUGGACAGUAGUUAAGUUUGGGCAGAGUCAAAAGUUAUAGGCAGAUUCUUGAUUGUGUGGGGUAUUGGCAUCCCUAAUCUCUGCACUGUUCAAGGGUAAACUGCAUUAGCUGAAAUAAAGCAUAUUCUUAAAAUGAA